GCACAAGCGGUGGAUGAUGUGGAUUAAUCGAUGCAACGCGAAAACCUUACCUACCCUUGACAUGUCUGGAAUCCCGAAGAGAUUUGGGAGUGCUCGCAAGAGAACCGGAACACAGGUGCUGCAUGGCUGUCGUCAGCUCGUGUCGUGAGAUGUUGGGUUAAGUCCCGCAACGAGCGCAACCCUUGUCAUUAGUUGCCAUCAUUUGGUCGGGCACUCUAAUGAGACUGCCGGUGACAAACCGGAGGAAGGUGGGGAUGACGUCAAGUCCUCAUGGCCCUUAUGGGUAGGGCUUCACACGUCAUACAAUGGUCGGUACAGAGGGUUGCCAACCCGCGAGGGGGAGCUAAUCCCACAAAGCCGAUCGUAGUCCGGAUCGCAGUCUGCAACUCGACUGCGUGAAGUCGGAAUCGCUAGUAAUCGUGGAUCAGCAUGUCACGGUGAAUACGUUCCCGGGUCUU
rnacentral:rRNA from 1 species